UACGUAGGGGGCAAGCGUUGUCCGGAUUUAUUGGGCGUAAAGAGCGUGUAGGCGGCUUGGUAGGUCCGCUGUGAAAACUCGAGGCUCAACCUCGAGAUGUCGGCGGAAACCACUUGGCUAGAGUCCGGAAGAGGAGAGUGGAAUUCCCCGGUGUAGCGGUGAAAUGCGCAGAUAUCGGGAAGAACACCUAUGGCGAAGGCAGCUCUCUGGGACGGUACUGACGCUGAGACGCGAAAAGCGUGGGGAGCGAACAGG
rnacentral:rRNA from 1 species